UGCUAAAUCCACAAAACCAGCAGUGAGGUGAGUACUCUCCAGAGCCUGAGGUGAGUGUUCUCCAGAGCCUGAGCCACAUCCAGACCGUGUGUUGGUGUGACUCAAAUCUUGUGCUUUUCAAAAAAUUUUGUUAUAGCUACAUAAUAGGGAAACUAAACACUAUGAUUUCACUGGCAACUGGAAUAAUAAUUUAAAAAAAAAAGGUAUUAAGGCAGGGCUACAUAGUGAGACCCUGUCUCAAAUAUAUAUAUAUUUACUCACACACACACACACACGAUAUACAUGUGUAUGUAUAAUGUACGUUUGUAUAUAUGUACGUAUGUGUCUUAGGGCCAGCAAGAGAAGGAAGGUGCUUGUGCUAAGCAAGAGCGCCACAGAUUACCAAUGGUUCUCAACCUGUGGGUCACGACCCCUUUGGAGGGUGACUAUCAGAUAAUUUUACAUUAUGAUUCAUAACAGUGGCAAAAUUACAGCUAUGAACUAGAAAUGAAAUGACUUUUGCGGUUGGGGGUCACCACAACAGGAACUGUAUUAGAAGGUUACUGCAGUAAGAAGGCUGAGAACGAACAUCUGGGUUAGAGAGUGAACAUCA
rnacentral:lncRNA from 1 species